UGACAGCAGGACUCUCUUUAGAGGAUAGGAGAGGGUCCUCACACUCAGGAAAUGAGUAAACUUCCUGGGUAUGAAAAAGAGGAACUUAAAAGCUUCAGAUGACCCUCCAAGGCUAUAGUCUGAGAAGGCUCUGGCCAACCCAGCUUCAGAGAAAAUUCCAAACCUGUCCCUGUGGUUUCAGCUCUGCUGUUUCCGGAGUCACACGUCAAGGUGGGCACUGCAGUGACAUAGCUGUUGUUGAGCUCCAUUUGGUCAGCACUCUGCAGACUCACGCUGAUUAGAAGCAUGUCCUAAGACAAGACUCAUGCUGAAUCAAGACCCGUGCUGGAACAAGAAACAUAGAGGAGAUGUGACAGAGUGAAGGAGACAGCACUUGGCUUGCUGGGACAGAUAGCUGUGCAAUGCUUCGGUCUCGCAACUUCACUGAUCUCUUCCCUGAGAGGCACUGCCAAGAAGUAUUCCUGGUGUCCUUCCAGGUCCCUCCUGCUGACUUGAGCCAAGGCUGGGGCCUGGCUGUCUCUGCUUAGUUGUGCCACCGCUGCUGACUCCUAGACUGCUGAUGUAUCUGUGAAGUGUUUGUGGGUGGAUCAAGCUGCUGCUGCUGCUGCUGAUCUAUGAGAUCCAGACAACAGAGGUGUCUGCUUCCCUGUAUCCUUUCUUUCUCACUACCUCUGGUAGGUGGUGGGCUACAAGAGACAUUAAAAAUGUUUAAGAAGCAUCAUUUAAAA